GACGAACGCUGGCGGCGUGCCUAAUACAUGCAAGUAGAACGCUGAAGGAGGAGCUUGCUUCUCUGGAUGAGUUGCGAACGGGUGAGUAACGCGUAGGUAACCUGCCUGGUAGCGGGGGAUAACUAUUGGAAACGAUAGCUAAUACCGCAUAAGAGUAGAUGUUGCAUGACAUUUGCUUAAAAGGUGCAAUUGCAUCACUACCAGAUGGACCUGCGUUGUAUUAGCUAGUUGGUGGGGUAACGGCUCACCAAGGCGACGAUACAUAGCCGACCUGAGAGGGGGCUCGGCCACACUGGGACUGAGACACGGCCCAGACUCCUACGGGAGGCAGCAGUAGGGAAUCUUCGGCAAUGGACGGAAGUCUGACCGAGCAACGCCGCGUGAGUGAAGAAGGUUUUCGGAUCGUAAAGCUCUGUUGUAAGAGAAGAACGAGUGUGAGAGUGGAAAGUUCACACUGUGACGGUAUCUUACCAGAAAGGGACGGCUAACUACGUG
rnacentral:rRNA from 1 species